UACAGAGGGGGCAAGCGUUGUUCGGAAUUACUGGGCGUAAAGGGCGCGUAGGCGGCCCGCUAAGUCGAACGUGAAAUCCCCGGGCUCAACCCGGGAACUGCGUCCGAUACUGGAUGGCUUGAAUCCGGGAGAGGGAUGCGGAAUUCCAGGUGUAGCGGUGAAAUGCGUAGAUAUCAGGAGGAACACCGGUGGCGAAGGCGGAUCUCUGGGCCAUUACUGACGCUGAGGAGCGAAAGCGUGGGGAGCGAACAGG
rnacentral:rRNA from 1 species